GACCCCAAUACAGAGGCGUAGCAUCCUAAUUUAUAUUGGUACGGCAGAAAAUCAUGAUGGGUCGCGAAGCGACGCAUCCCGCCUCGUAGAGGCGGUUAUGCGGCAAGGGGUUCGGGGGCCGCUCAAGGCCCCCGAGAAAAUUUUAAUAAAUAGUGCAAAAUCCUGCAUUCUGACGACCUCCAGACACUUAAAUUUGAUUCUCUAAAACCCUAGUUUUAUGGGUAACAAUUUAAAAU
rnacentral:lncRNA from 1 species